rnacentral:rRNA from 1 species
CCUACGGGGGGCAGCAGUGAGGAAUAUUGGUCAAUGGCCGGAAGGCUGAACCAGCCAUGCCGCGUGAAGGUCAGUGCCCUAUGGGCGUUAAACUUCUUUUGUGCGGGAGCAAUAAUGGUCACGUGUGGCCAGACGAGAGUACCGUACGAAUAAGCAUCGGCUAACUCCGUGCCAGCAGCCGCGGUAAUACGGGGGAUGCAAGCGUUAUCCGGAUUUAUUGGGUUUAAAGGGUGCGUAGGCUGUGAGGUAAGGCAGCGGUGAAAUGCCCCCGCUCAACGGGGUGAAGUGCCAUUGAUACUGCCUGGCUGGAAUGCGGAUGCCGUGGGAGGAAUGUGUGGUGUAGCGGUGAAAUGCAUAGAUAUCACACAGAACACCGAUUGCGAAGGCAUCUCACGAAUCCGCGAUUGACGCUGAUGCACGAAAGCGUGGGUAUCAAACAGGAUUAGAUACCCCAGUAGUC